AUUACAUACUUUUAACAUUUAUUCUUAAGCAACUAUAGAUUCACAUGUAGUUAUAAGAAUAAUACAGUGAAAUCUUAUUCACUCUUUACCUAGUUUUCCCCAACAGUACAUCUUCCAGCACUUCCAAAACAGUCAAGAUACGGAAUAUUCCCAUCCCUCCCAGGAUCCUUCUAUAAUUCUGUUCUAUAGCUGCUUUAAAAAAAUUACCACAACUUAAUGGCUUAAAAUACAAAUUACUAUCCGACGGUUCUAGUAGUCCGUUAUCUGAGAUGGGUCUCAUUGGGCUAAAAUAAAAGUGUUAGUGAGGUUGUGUAUUAUUCUGGCACCUCUAGAGAAGAAUCCAUAUUCUUAAUUUUUCUAGCUUCUCCAAGCUGCCUGCAUUCCUUAGCUCUUGGGCACCUCCCAUAUUCAAAGCCAGCCGUGUCCUGUAGAAUCUUUCUCACACUCUAUCGCUGUGACGCUGCUUGUUCAGCAUUCGUCUUCCACACUCUUUAAAAGCCCCUCGUGACUACAUUGGACCCACUCAGACGAUACCAGAUCAUCUGUUUCAUUUAAGAGCCUUUUCCCAAGAAUAUAUCCAGAAGCUUCCAAGAUGGUAUGAAAGAUGUAUUGUGAUAUUAAACCAAUCAAAUGAAUAUUUAAUGAGUAACUAGCACGUGUGCAACUGACAGACCAAUGGAGGAAAAAACAUGAAACCCAUUUGGGACAAGAAGAGAAUAAUUCAGGACAGAAUCCUCAGAGUUGGGCUCCCUUCCUGUCUGCCUACUCAAACACCCAAGGUGGGUGACCUGCUAGCUCUGAGAUUCUUUCUCCUCUUUUUGUUGAGUGAGAAGAUUGGUCUAGAUUAGGGGCUGGAAAACUAUGGCCCAUGGGCCAAAACAAGCCCAUCACCUGUUUAAGUAAACGAGGCUUUACUGGAACAUAGCCUCUCCCAUUUGUAUAUUGUCUAUGGCUGAUUUUGCAUAAAGGCAGAGCUGAGUAGCUGCAACAGAGACCUUCUAGCCUAUACAGCCUGAAAUAUUUACUCUCUGGCUCCCUACAGAAGAAGUUUGCUGGCCUUUGGUCUAAAUAAACUUCAGGUGGACAAUUUGCAGCCAAGUGGUGGGAUCUGUGCCGAAGUGCUCAUAACAUUGAUUUGAGUCCAUUGUGCUAAAUGCUUUCUUUCAUUAUCUUAUUUAAUUCUGGUUCUAUUCUACAUAUGAGAAAACUGAAGCUUCAAGUGAUCCAGGGACUCUUCUAAAAUCACCAAGAGGCAGAGGAAGGUGGAGUCAAGCUAGGAACUCAGGCCUGUCCGGCCAAAAUCUUUCUUACCUUUCCAGGAAAUGGCCUGGUAUCAUGAAGAGGUUAACUAGUGGGGUGGGGAGACUUGUGGAAACUUCUCAGGGGACCUCAAAUUUGGCACUUAAGAUAUAGAAGGGUGGAGAGAAAAGGGGAGGAACUCCCGGCAGUGAGAGCUCAGGAGAAGAGGAGGGGACUGCUAUGCAUUACAGGGCUGGGCCCUGGUGUAUCGGUGAGAGAAUGACUUCCACCUACAGCUGCCAUAAUGGGCAUGGCCUCAUUUAAGCCUUACAGAUGAACUCCAAGGCGGGUACUUCUAUAGUCUCCACUCAACAGAUGGAGGAAAGCCCAGAGAGGUAGGUGCCAGCCCAAAGUCACACAGCAGCCACAGAAAUCCAUAUACUAUGGCAAAAGAAGGCAGCAUUGACUGUGAAGAACUUAAGAGACAUCUCAAAUUACUCAAGAAGAGAAGAGGGAAAAUGCUAGGCUGUGUAAGAAUCGAAGCUAAAGUGAGGUUCUGUAUUCAAGACCACUCUAUGAUCUUUAGGUAAAAUAGUUUCCAGAAUUUAACUCCUAUGUUCUGGAAUUAAUGUAGUUUAGUUUCAACUCUCAUGUCUCAUUUCCUUCUGUUAUGCUACCAAAUCACUUCUUUCCUCACAGAUUCUAUACCUCUAAAAAUUUGUAUUUCAUGUCAUUGGAAUAUUAUAGGCUUUUCAUAUAACCAUAGUCGAUUCCUAUAUUAUUUUAAGUUUUAGAUGGACAGAAGUUGUCUUUUAUCUAAUAAAUUAUCUAAGUUAGAGCAAGAAAAUAGAUAUGAUUAGCCAAAAGUGUGCUUCAGAACCCACUUCGAGCAUCUCCUUCUCUCUGAAGGUUUCUUCAAUGCUGACUUCUUGUCCUUUGGCCUAUGGAAAAGAAGAACUGCUCUGAGUUUCCACUUUGUAUGCGUUCACCUAUACACUACACUGAAGUGAUUUUUUUAUGUGACCAUUUCUCCAUUAAACAAUAAGCUUCUUAAUGACAUUUACUUCUUUUUAAUUUUUAUGUUAAAUAUCAAGAAGUUUAUAAAAGUAAGUGCUUAGUAAGUGUUUGUAAAGGAGGAGAUGGAUACCACAACUAAAGGCGUGGAGGUGGAGAAUAGUAGAAAUCAAACACCCCUUCAGGGAUAAAGGAGUGUUUCAGAUAAACUUUGGGAGCUAAACAAGUAGGAGGAGAUGAAAUUGAAGAUGACCCCUCUAAUGAGCAGAAAACAUAUAAAGGAAGGCAUAUUCUUGGGCAUGCCUAAAACCUGAUUCUUAUGGCAAGCAUAUGGUUCUGAAUUUUUCAUUUAUAGAGGUAGCCAUUUUUGAAAAGAUAAAACUCAAUUAGGUAGAAAUAGAAGACCUUUCAUUUUUUUCCCACAAUUAAUUUCAUAAACAGUCCUUUGAAUAGCCCUUCCUUACUGUUGAAUAGUCCUUCCCUACACUGACUAUAGCUCACGUAGUGCUCAUUGCUUUCUUGUCUCUUUUAAUCGUAACAACAGUCUCAUUUUCCUUAUGGAAAGCCAUUUAUAGAUAUUAAAACUCUAUUUCAACUCAAAUCAAAACUUCAGUUUUAAGUCAAUAGUGCCCACCCUCUUAUGUAGGUAGUAUCAAGGUGGUGUAAACCUAGUCAUUGUUUUUUUAAAUUUCUUCCUAAAACACACACACACACACACACACACACACACACACGAUACAUGUGCAGAAAAUGCAGAUUUGUAACAUAGGUAUAUAUGUGCCAUUGCGGUUUGCUGUACCUAUUGACCUCUGAGUUUUCUACUCUCAACUCCCAGCCCCACAGGCCCUAGUAUGUGUUGUUCUCCUCUCUGUGCCCAUGUAUUCUCAAUGUUCAACUCCUACUUGUGAGUGACAACAUGCAGUGUUUGGUUUUCUGUCCCUGAGUUAGUUUGCUGAGGAUGAUGGCUUCCAGCUUCAUCCAUGUCCCUGAAAAGGACAUGAUCUCCUUUCUUUUUAAGGCUGCAUAGUAUUCUGCCGUGUAUAUGCACCACAUUUUCUUUAUCCUUGAUGAGCAUUUGUGUUGGCUCUAUGUCUUUGCUAUUGUAAAUUCUGCUGUAAUAAAUAUAUGUGUGCAUGUGUCUUUGUAGUAGAAUUAAUAUAUUCUUUUGGGUACAUACUCAGUAAUGGGAUUGCUGAAUCAAAUGGUAUUUCUGAUUUUAGAUCCUUAAGGAUUCCUCUAGAUACAUUUUCUUCUAUAUCCUUGAGGGAUUGGCAUACUAUCUUCCACAACGAUUGAACUAAUUUACAUUCCUACCAACAGUGUAAAAGCAUUCCUAUUUCUCCACAGCCUUUCCAACAUCUAUUGUUUUCUGACUUUUUAAUAAUUGCCAUUCUGACAGGCAUGAGGUGGGAUCUCAUUGUUGUUUUGAUUUGCAUUUCUUUGACGAUCAGUGAUGUUGAACUUUCUUUUGUAUGUUUUUCUUGGCCAUGUAAAUGUCUUCUUUUGAGAAGUGUCUAGUAUCCACAUAGUAAAAAUUCAUGUGCCAUUGUCAGGACAAAUACUAGAAUUUCCCACCAGCUUCUUCUUUCAAAAUCCUUUAGGAAGAAAAUAGAUUCCAGCUUUUAUGUUAAUGUAUGCCCCUCAGACUGCAGAGGACACAUGUUGCGCUCACUUGGAAAAGCACUAAGUUCUGCUCUAGACACUUAAUGAGGAACAUUGUAAAAAUUGGGUAAGUAGGCAUCUAGGAAGGGAGUGUAUUGCCUAACUCUUCUUUUUUUAAAGUAAUUAUGACCUCUCUUAUGGAUUUUCACUUGCUUUGAAGAGUCUUUCUCUACUUAGGAGAUGGUGAAGAAAACUUACAAAGCACAUUCCCCUAGGCUAACAAUUCAUUACUUCAAUCAAUAAUUGUGCAUUUCUAGUCUUUUGGUUUUGUAAGAAGGAAGAGACUGUCAAAGGACCAUUAGCCACAUCUCUGUGAGUUAUGUGAGGAUACGUGUUUCAUUCCCUUUGUAGGAGUCCUUAGAGACAAAUGUCUUCAGUAGAAAUUCUAACAAGGUAACAAUGCUAUGCCACUGUUUGUUUCAAGAGACUUUUCUUUUGUAGCUAAAUCAGAACUCAAAUAUCAUCCUUUCUGCAACAGCUUCACAUAAUAUCUAUUUCAGGAAAUAAACUGCCACAAAAAUAAGAGUGCUUACAAGACAUUGUGAAACCAAGUAGUGAUCUGUAUGAACCAUGGAGUCAGAAUUGAUGUUAAGAGAUGGAAUGGUCAGUAUGAGAAGGGGUAAUGAGAGAACACUUCUGGAGGAGGCAGGGUUUGAACACUUGGUAUCCAUCUUUCCCUUCUUCCUCACUAACAAACUUUCACUUUUGUGGAAGAGAGCAAUGAGCUGUGUUUUAAGCACAAUGAUAACAACAAUAAAAAGUUACAUUUCCUAGUUUCUCUGUCAUGUGAGUGUGACCAUUAUGGCUCAGUAGGCCAAAUUCAGUAAUAUUAAUAAUUAUUAUUAUAUCAAUUUGUCAUUGAAAGGCUCUUUGACAUUAUUAAAUGUAAAUAGCAUUUUAUUAUUUGGAUAAUUAAUUUUCAAUUUAUCAAAUACAAGUAAGGUGCCAAAAAGUUCAAUAAAUAUUAAUUAUAAGUGUUCAUUUCUAUGUACUUCUAUCAUUUCUAUGAAUAUAAAUUAUCUAUGGCAUUGAUUGUGCCUUAUUAAUUUAUAUAACAUGUUAGGACUCAGUCAUUAUCAAUUUUGCUAUCAAAGCAAUAUUGAUUGAGUAGCUACUUAAUUUUGCAUCUGGCACAAUUUCUUGCUCUAGAGAUAGCAAUAUAGUAGACAACUCAUUAAAAACUUUCUACUUUCAGUAAGCCUAUUGUAAGAUGAUAGAUGCAAUGAUUAAGCAAAAUAUAUAGCAUAUUAGAUAAUCUUAUAUUUAUUGAUUAAUAAGGUAAAGGAGCUACAAUCCUGAUAAAGAAUAGUUUUUUUAACAUUGAAUAUAUAUUUUAUUUUGGUAUUGAAUACCAAAUGUCUAGUUUCCCAAAUAAUUAAGUAAAUAAAAUAAAUGGACUUGAAAUAAUUAGAGAGGAUGAGGCAUUUUGAAAACUGGAAGCAAAAUGUGUCCUAUCACAUAAAGUUAAAAUAUUUAAAUUAGAUAUUAGAAGUAAUAUAUUGAAUUUCAGCCAAAAAAAUGGAAUAUGUCAAGAAGGGGAGUCAGAGAAACAUCAGAACACAAACAUUGAUAGUCCCAAUGGAUAAGACAGUCAGGCCUUACUAUUCUGCGAAAUAAACUGGAUGACUCAAAUUGUUCUUAUGUUUAUGAUAUUUACUUUCUUAUGCACUUGGUGAAAUUGUGGUCACCACAGAAACACUUUUGAAUGAUCAACCUAAAAGGUAAAAUCAGAAUUGUUGAGAUCAGGAGAAAGGUGCAACUGUUUCACUUUUUCACAGGAAUACCUCUGUAAAAAAAUGUAUUGCCAUAAAAAAUGAGAGAAAAUGUAUGGAGUAAAAUAUGUCUUUAAUUUUAUCUGAAUUGGUUAUGGACUUCACAUCUUUUAGAAAAGAAGCAAAAUCAGCAGUGGUAUUAGGUUUGAACAGAAAGAUGGUUUCUUCUAGUUUUUAGUAGAACAAUGUCAAAUAGGAGUAGGCGAAGAUUUCUGCCUAAUGAUUUAUUCUUUUCUCUGGGAGGUAGACAACUUUGUUGUCUACCAGAGAAAAUAUAUAAGUUGUGUACCAGAGAAAGUACACAAAGUUGUGUACCAGAGAAAAUAUAUAAGUAGGUCCCCUGGCUGAUACAGAGAUUUUGCUUUAACUUUGGCUCUUCCUUUUCUAUAGGAGGCCAGGAAAAUAUGUGAAGCUAAAAACCUCUGCAAAUGCUCUCAUAACUUCCUAAUAUCCAUCAGUUCCUACAAUAGAGUCAGAUAGUCCAAGGCAUCUGAUGAAUUAUCUGUGGCUCUCUUACUCCGUAAAACAUUGUCCUGGACUCCUUGAUAUGACUUCUAUUUUCUCAGCAUCUCCAAAGAUUUCCCAUUUAUAUAGACAUGCCUGCUGUCUCUUCCCCAUACUCCCAUCUCUAUCUCUUUUUUCUCUCUCUCUCUCUCUGAUACACACACACACACACACACACACACACACACACACACACAUACACACACAACCCAACAUAAUGAUUUUUUUAAUGUAUAUAUAUAUUUAACUUAUAGGCUCAGGGUGCACGUGCAGAUUUGUUACAUGGGUAAAUUGCAUGUUGUGGAGAUUUGGUGUACAGAUUAUUUUGUCACCCAGAUAAUAAGCAUAGUGUCCAAUAGGUAGUUUUUCUAUCCUCACCCUCCUCCCGACGUGUUGUUAGGCCCCAGUGUCUGUUGUUCCAUUCUUUGCAGCAACGUGGAUGGAAUAGGAGGCCAUUAUCCUAAGAAAAACACAGGAACAGAAAAGCAAAUACCACAUAUUCUUGCUUAGAAGUAGGGGCUGAACAUCAAGUACAUAUGGACAGAAAGAAUGAUAUUUACUUAUCAUUUCUAUGUUGAAGAAAUUGAGGGGAAAUGGAAAGUGAAAGAGAAGGUUAAUAGUUAACAAAAGAAUGCCCCUAUGCUGUAUAGAAACAGAUGUUAUAGACUAAUUAGAGUGGCCACAUAGAAUAAUAACUUAGAGAUAAGCAUUGACAUGAUCAAGUUUUGGUCUUCCAUUUUACUGGCUAUGAGAUUCUUUUGUUUUCAACUCUCUAAAGACUUUUCUUAAAUUUCCAAAAUGUAUAAAGGAGUUAUAUAUAUAUAUAACUCUACUUUCUACAGGAGAUAUAUAGAUAUAUAUAUGUGUGUGUGUGUGUGUAUAUGUGUAUGUGUACAUAUAUACAUAAUUAUUUAGGUUUACAAUAUAUUUACAGUAUAUUUAGUGUGAUUAAACCUCUAUCUGCAAAAUAAUAAUUAUUCUACUUUGUAAUUACAGAUACAGAUAGAGAUAGAGUCUAGGAAAUGGCACAAAACAAUUUUUUUUUGCUGUUCCUGUUUAAUAAUCUCAGAAAUUUAUCUGUUUCUUUUUCUUGUCACCCUUUCUUUUCUCCAUUUUUUCUAUUUUUUUUUUUCCUGUCUUUUAUUACCUUUAUUCUCUCCCUGAAUCCUGCAUCUUGCCUGGAGAAGCAGCAUAAGACUUCAUAGUUCUGUGUCUCACUCCUACAACUUUUCUGUAAACAGAUGCAAAUCUUAGAAGCCAUUUUAGUUUCUUUAGCACCUUCAGGGAAAAAUAUCUAUAAGACAUAACUAAGCAAAAAUAACAAAGAAAAAAUCAUUCCUUUGCAGACUUUGAACAAACCACUGCAUUAUUUUCUUUGUACUAGUAUGCCUUUAAAAUGUAUUUCUCUUCUUAAUGCUUUUUCCCUUGAUUUGUUACUUCAGAAGGAAGGUAUAAAGAAAGUAUGGGGUAAGGGAAAAAGGAAAUCCAGUGUUUGCAUAAUAUAUAUUAUUUAUGAUCAGAUGUUAGAUAGAAUCUUAACACAAAAUUCAUAAUUAAGGUGCAGAAAGCACCACCAGGGACUAGACUGAAGCUCCUGUGGUACUAAGGUGUUUAGGACAAUGGAUGCAGAAAGAAUUGGGAAAAGAGCAUCUCUGUUAUACCCUCGAAAGCUGGAAAGGAUCCUUUGAAUAUGAGUGCCUCUUCUACUUCUCUGCAGCAUAAGGUUGAAUAAAAACUGAAAGAUGAAUUUUUCAGGGUACAUGAAGGGCUGAAAUACCUGAGGGUAGUUGGCAAAGAGAAUGACCUAGCUGUGCAAGGGUGGUGUCCUUGUGAGAGAAGAUCCUACUGGCAGGAGUAAAACAAAACAGUUCAUUACACUUUAUAUAAUGUGCUCCACUCAAAGAAAGCAUUGCUAAUCUUGAGGGAGAUAUUUCUUACAAUUAUCUUUAUGUGAUGGUGAACAAAUCUAUUAACUACAGUUCUCUAUUGGGUGAAACACCUUUCUCUACUUCAAUUAUGUCCAUGGUCCUAUUCCAUGUGAAACGUAAUAUCAAUGCACUUAAGAGGAUGGACUUGGAUAUCAGAAAAAUUCGAGCUCGAAUCUUCAUGACUUCCUAGCUGAACAUCAAUGGACAACCUGCCUGAGCUUCAAUUUUAUUACUUGUGAAAUGGAGAUGCAGACAAUUAUUUGAAAAAUUAAUCAGAUAUAUGUAAAAACAAUAGGGCAGUGCAUAGGAAGACAGGUUUGUAUAUAACGGUAUUUUUAAAUUUGUAAUAUAAUGGUGAGUUUUAGUCAAGAGAACUAAUAUGAUUCAGUUGAUGAAAAAGAACUUCAGAGUCUUUCCUUCUAUAGAAGAGGCUAAACUGUAGGUUUUGGCACUCCGUCUUCCUUUAAUUCUCUCUGAAAUUACAAAUGAAUAACCAUACUGAUGUCUUCAAAACUUCUAUGCAGCUUCUGGCACGAUUAAAAUGUAAUGAGAGCUUUUAAUGAAUGGGCAUAUCACAGCUUGUUCUUGUUUGGCUGUGAGAAAUUAAAAGGUGGGCUGCUGUUUUUCUGUAGAUCAAGGCUUUCAUGUUUAAUGUGUUAAAAUAUCUAAGCAUGGACAGAGGAUUGUGGAAAAACUGCUGCUUCCCACUGAUCAGCACAUUUUCUCUGCAGUUACAGGGCAGUGAUUCACAUGGACUAUUCUGUGUAUGGCCCUAAUUUUCUUGCACUGAUGUGGUGGAUGGGAUAGGAAGAUGUAAUAGUUACAUAAUCUGCUUAAGCCAGAAGAGAGAAGAGCUAUAACAUUCUAGUCUAAUGCAAGAUAAUGAACCCUGACCUAGUUAUCAGGAAGCCCAGGGUGUUCAUUCAUACUGUUUAUGUGGACACAACUAGGUGGCUUAAAUUCUAACCCUAAUUUUUCUCAACCAUAAAUUGUGUUUGUGUGCCCUAUAUGUAUCUGUAUGGGUGAGGAAGAAGAUAAAGAAAUUUCCAAGUUUACCUCAAGGAAUUAUGGUUAGUGUUCAAUGAGACAUUUGUUAAGCAAAGCUGGUGUAAGUUACCUUACAAAUGUGGAAGCUUAUUUUAGUAUCAUUGCCCUACUUCGGACACAGAAAAGCCACAUAUCCAGCAACAUCUGUCCUAAAUCCUGUCAUUUCACUGUCUCAUAUUUCUCUUGACAGUAAUUGCACAUGAAGCUCUGUGAAAAUAGAAUAAUGCUGUAUAAAUUAUUUGUAUCAAAUAAUAAUUGGAAGAAGUACUCCUUUUGUUACAAUUCAGAGGUUAGCCUCUGAAUCAAAGUUAGAUUUGAGAACUGUUUGAGGGGGGAAGAGAUGUUAUAAGGCAAAAAAGGGAUGGCUUAAAAGUGGAAAAUCUUUUGAAGGAAAAGGGAAUGUCAAGAAAACAUAAUAUUCUAGAUUAUCAUAUUUACUUCUAUUUAACCUUGAAAUUAAGAGCUUAUUUUUUAAGACAAAGAACAUGCUAAAUUUGUUUUCAUUCAUCUAUUCUACAAAUAUGAAUUAAUCUUCCACUGUGUUCAAGGUACUGUGUUAACUUCUAGAGAUACAAGUGUGAGUUAGACAAGUAGACUGCCAGGAAGAAGUUCACAAUCUCAUUAAAAGACAAAUGCUUUGACGAGGAUAAGCAGAGGUUGCCAGAAGAACGCAUAGAAGACAUCUUAUAUCAGAAAAGGCUUCCUAGAAAAUGUUGACAUGCAGGUUGAGGCUUGAGAAUGGGACAAAUAUUAACUUGUUGAAGAAGUACCAUUGAAGAGGUAGUACCACUGAAUACAGAGAACGUGGCAUGUAAAGGGUAAUGAAAGUUCUUCAUUUAGCUUCCUCUUCCUUCAUAUUAUUGCUAAAAUUUUACUAAUUGCAUGCUGAAAUUCAUAGCAUGAAAAUUAUUCUUUACUAGACCAACCACCUUUGCUAGACAGUCUGGUUAAUUUCUGAAAGUACCUGUUUCAUAAGACUAAGAAAUGACAGCAUUUUCUAUAGUUUUUGGGCACCUCCAAAGGGUAGAAAAUGGGUGUGCUGGGCAUUAACAGUUGAUGUGCAGGCAUAACAAAAUAUGCAGUAUUUAGAGUAAUAAGUGAAAUAUUAAUGUGGAGAAGUAAUCAGGGGACAUUCCAUAAAAUGAUUUGAAUGCUAGGGCAAAGAAUUUGAAUUUCAUCCCCAAAAUUGGAUAACCAUGUAAAUGUUUUAAGCAAAUAAAUGAUAUAAUCAUAAUGGUGUUUUAGAAAUGUCACUCUAGCUCUGGAUGUGUUAUUUAAAUAUUUCUGAUCACAUAUCUCUAUUAAUACAUUAUUUUGACCACAGUCCCUGCAUUUAUAGUAUGUUUGUAUGUAGGUAUGAUUAAAUUACAUUUGUUUUACUCUAUUUUGUAAUCUAGAUGAUAAAGAGCCCACAAGGAGUAAGAAGGAUACUCACAUGGAUGUUUCCUUGAUGUGUUUCUACUUACUUCAUUAAUCCAACAGUGGCUCUGAGGAAAAACACUUUUUAAGCUAUCUGUUCAAUUUAGAUUAAUCUUUUUUGGGGGGAUAAAACCAGGUAAUGCAAUCUUUAUAACAACUUAAUAGAACACAUGUAUACUGUAUUGUUUGCAAUGCAACCAAAGGGACGUAAGAACAUGGACACUGGGUUUCACGGUGACCCUCUAUGCUGUUGUACAUCUAAUCCUCUCUGCAGGGUAUUUGUUUAAUGGGAAACCUGGUAAACAAAGUGAGAGAACCAGGGUCUGUGUCAGUAUGGAUAUAAAAUAGUGAUAACUAAUGUAAAUUUUCUUCUGUGUUUAUAAAACUUUAAGUCAAAUGGGUAAUAUUUUCAUACACUUGUGGAUCCUCUUGGGCAUUAAACUUGAAGGUACCUAUUCAUUUAAAGGUCCAGUGGUGUAAAAAAUAGAUCAUAUUUGAUAAAUCAGAAGCAGGAAGAUCAUUGACGACUGUGCUGGUACAACCCUGGUGAAAGAUAGAUGAUGAUAUUUAGGACUGCUCUUUGGACAUAGGGUUAAAAAAAACAUAUACAGCUACAGCAGAUUUUUUAAAAUGCAGACUCUGUUAGGGCUUGUGUUUGUAGAUAUGGGAACACUUUAGGCAGAAGUUUGAGGGUCAGACCAGGUCAAAACUGAAGACAUUGAACCGAAUCUGCCAUCAUCAGCCUGUGACAAAAUAGCAAAAUAGGGCCCUUGCCUCUGAUAGCACUCCAUCCACAUCCCAGCAUUGUGUACUCUUUUUUUUUUUUUCAAAGUAAUUGUUGUGCCCUAUCCUUUCUGGACCUUUGUAAUCAAAUAGCCUAGGGCUUCCUCCAGUGGGACCCACUUGGACUUUCCAGCCCAACUAAGAUAAUUUUUCAAGCAAGUAAAAUAUCACAAGGCCCAGUCCUUGACACAGAAAACCACUGGAGUUCUUACUCUGAAGCUGUAGGUCACAGACUUGGAUUUCUUGAAUCAUAUUCAUUUCUUUACUUACACUUUCAUGACUCAGAAUGUCCACUUUUCUCAGGAAACACGUGUUCAUCACAGCAGAUACCAUAUGAAGACAAUGCCUUGACUCAGAAGAAGUUAUUUCUGAAUAGGAAAGUAAGAACAAUCAGAGGAAAGGUUAGGAAGCAUUAGGUGUGUGUGUGUGGGGGGGGGGUGGCUUCAGAAGUAGCAUUCAAAUCUGUGUGUAUGAAAAAUAUUUUAAAAGUUGGUGAUAUUUUUAAAGUCAAAACUUGAAAGUAUCCCCUCUGGAUUAUUCUUUAACUACUUAUUUUUUUUGAAAUGAGAGAACCAAUAAUAUGGUAGGGUAAAAUCUAAAAUUAUCAGUCAUAAAAAGGCAAAUGCAUAUUUUACUUAUGUAAUUUGUUAUUGAAGAUGAAAUAACUAGUAAUAUUGAUAUUUUAUAUCUAGGGACAAAUUAAUCAUGCUGAGGUUGUGAUACAUGAAGCACUAAAAGUGCUUAAGUAAGGCACAAUGAUUUACAAAGAGAAAAUAAACUAAAGAUGAGUAAUUAGCAUACGUGUUAUAUUACCUUAUCCUAAAAUAGUUACAAAAUAGUUGUUACAAGUAAACCAAAAACUCAAAAUUGAUUCAUGGAUUAAAAUUAAUUAUACAUUAAAUAUACAGCAACCUAAAAUCAAUCUAGAGUACCUCAUCCCCACAAUUGGACAGGAGAUUAUUUCUAGACCUCAUCUGUCACUUAUUUAUACUCCCAUAUAGUGAAGUCAUCUAACGUGUACAUUUCUUUAUUUUUUAAAAAUAAGUUUACUUGACUAGAAAAUUUUCAAAAUUGCUUUUAACUCUAACAAUUUUGUAUUCUUUUGCUCUCUGACCAAUUUAGAAUCUCUUCAGUGUUCUUAUUGCUUAAAUAGUGUUAAAAUAGUGAAAACAUCCCAGCCAUGUUAGCUAUGUUUUAUUAUUAAAGUAAUUAAAAAUGUUCAGUUUUCAAGUGCUGGAAUUUCACUUGCCACUAACUCUUCACAGCGUUUUUUAUUGACGUAGGCACUCCAUCUGGAACUUAUUCCAGUCUAGACUCCUCCCUGUCACAUCUGCUCAUGUGCUUAAAUUAAAAUUAAAGACCUUGCCCUUAGUUAAAAUUUUUGUUUUAUUUGUCAUCAAUUUUUUUAAGUCCCAGUUUAAUGGCAUGGAAUAUUUGAACAUAUUUUGGAGGAACCAUGUUUCUAAAUCAAUUUAGACAGAAAGAUGCUUAAUGUCAUACACUUCAUGGUCCCUUUUUCUGAGUUACAGAGUUCAAAAAUUUAUUAAUGUUUUUGCUGUGUGGAGUACAAUGCCAUUAAAAAUAUUUUUCAGUUCAGACUAUUCAGUUGGGUGAAGUCACUCUUUUCUAUCCGUGUUAUAUUUACAAAUAACUAAAUCAAUUUCAUAUUAAGUGAUAAAUAGGCUAUGUUCCAAUAUAUUCUAUUCUCAAGUGAUGCUUACAGAUGCUACAGGGAACUACUAUGGUGUUAAGAAAAUAGGAGAUCUAUAUUUAAAUCUGGGCUUAAAUCAGGAGGUUGGUUUACUCCCCCCCGAAAAAAACUAAAAAACCCUCUUUUUAUAUUUGUAAAGGUGAUAAUUCCAAUAACAAAUAUUAAGGCUAACAAACAUUGAACACAUAAAAAUACAGAUUCCAAAAAGUGAGUGUAGCUGGUUGGUGAAUUAUAUUCAUAGAACCCUCUGAUUAAUGAGGCAGAAAACUACAGCUCAUAACAAAGAAAAAACCUAUUGCUGUUCAGCAAAAUAAUUCUGAUGCUGAGAAGAUUGUAGGGGAUUCAAGCAACAUUGGUCCCGUCAGAAUGGGUCCCUUUUUAGACUUCUUAGAGCUUGUUCUUUUAAGCAUCCUGGUUCAAGUACCAUUAGGAAAAAAAGAACUGAAAACUUUGAAGCUGAAUAAAAACACCUAAUUGCAUAAAAUGGCUAUGGUAGAUGAUAUAUUAAAAUACUAUGGUAUAUACAAUGCUUUUCUUGUGAUUUCCAACAAUGUAUCUGUGUUGUCUUUAAAAAGUGUUGAAUUAAAGAGUGAUCUAGGUAUGUUACAUAAAACAUUUGUGAAGAGCUGAGUCUACCCAAUUAUUAGAAUAAAGAUUCUUUUUUUACAGUAAGCAAAGUCUGGAAAGCCACCAGCAUUCAUCCCGACACCUACCUGAUAUGGUUUGCUCUGUGUCCCCAAACAAAUCUCAUCUUGUAGCUCCCAUAAUUCCCAUUUGUUAUGAGGUAUCUGGUGGGGAUUACUGAAUAAUGGGGAUGGAUCUUUCCCAUGCUGUUCUCCUAUUAGUGAAUAGGUCUUAUGAAAUCUGAUGGUUUUAAAAAUGGGAGUUUUCCUGAACCAGCCUUUCUCUCUUUCUACCAUAUAAGAAACACUUUUGCCUUCCACCAUAAUUGUGUGGCCUCCCCAGCCAAGUGGAAAUCUGAGUCCAAUAUACUUCUUUUUUUGUGUAAAUUGCCCAGCCUUGGGUAUGUCUUUAUCAGCAGCCUAAAAGCAGAUUAAUACAAUAAAUUGGUACCAGGAGAGUGGGGUGUUGCUGGAAGCCUGAAAAUGUGGCAGUGACUUUGGAACUAGGUAACAGGCAGAGGUUGGAACAGUUUGGAGGUCUCAGAAGAAGACAGUAAAAUAUGGGAAAGUUUGGAAUUCCUGAAGAUUUGUUGAAUAGCUUUGCCCAAAAUGCUAAUAGUGAUACGAACAAUAAAGUUCAGGCUGAGGUGGUCUUCGAUGGAGAUGAGGAACUUGUUGGGAACUGGAGCAAAGGUGACUCUUGUUAUGUUUCAGUGAAGAAACUGGGUGGCAUUUUGCCCCUGCCCUAGAGAUUUGUGGAACUUUGAACUUGAGUGAGAUGAUUUAGGAUAUCUGGUAGAAUAAAUUUCUAAGCAGCAAAGAAUUCAAGGGGAGACUUGGGUGCUAUUAAAAACACUCAGUUUUAUAAGGGAAGCAGAGCAUAAAAGUUCAAAAAAUUUGCAGCCUGACAAUGUGAUAGAAAAGAAAAUACAAUGUUCUGAGGAGAAAUUCAAGCUGGCUGCAGGGAUUUGCAUAAGUAAUGAGGAGCUGAAUGUUAAUCGCCAAUACAAUGGGUAAAAUGUCUCCAGGGCCUGUCAGUGGUCUGCACAGCCACCCCUCACAUCAAAGGCCUGGAGGCCUAGGAGGAAAAGGUGGUUUCCUGGGCUAGGCCCAGGGACUCUGUGCUGUUUGAAGCCUAGGGACUUGGUGCCCUACAUCACAGCCACUCUAACCAUCACUGAGAGGGGCCAAUGUAGAGCUUGGGCCAUGGCUUUAGUGGGUGCAAACCUCAAGUCUUGGCAGCUUCCACAUGGUAUUGAGUCUGAAAGUGCAUAGAAGUUAAGAAUUGGGGUUUGGGAACCUUCACAUAUAUUUCAGAGGAUGUAUGAAAAUACCUGGAUGUCCAGGCAGAAGUCUGCUGCAGGGGUCAGGGUUUCAUAGACAACCUCUGCUAGGGCAGUGCAGAAAGGAUAUGGGAGGUCAGAGCCCCUGCACAAAGUCCCUACUAGGGCACCACCUAGUGCAGCUGUGAGAAGAGGACCACCAUCCUCCAGACCUCAAAAUGGUAGAUCCACUGACAGCUUACACCAUGCACCUGGAAAAGCCACAGACACUAAUGCCAGCCUGUGAAAACAGACAGGAUGAAGGCUGUACCCUGCAAAGCCACAGAGGCAGAGCUGCUCAAGAUAAUGAGAACCUACCUUUUGCAUCUGGGUGACCUGGAUGUGAGACAUGGAGUCAAGGGGGAUCAUUUUAGGGCAUUAAGAUUUGACUGCCUUGCUGGAUUUUAGACUUGCAUGGGGCCUGUAACCCCUUUGUUUUGGCCAAUUUAUCCCAUUUGGAAUGGCUGUAUUUACCCAAUGCCUAUACCCCCAUUGCCUAGGAAGUAACUAACUUACUUUUGAUUUUAUAGGCUCAUGGGAAGAAGUGACUUGCCUUGUCUGGGAUGGGAGUUUGAACUGUGGAUUUUUGAGUUAAUGCUGAAAUUAGUUAAGACUUUGGGGUACUGUUGGAAAGGUGUGAUUGGUUUUGAAAUGUUUAGAUAUGAGAUUGGGAUGGGGCAGGGGUGGAAUGGUAUGGUUUGACUCUGUAUCUCCACACAAAUCUCAUCCCAUAAUUCCCACAUGUGUGUGAAGGACCCAGUGGGAGAUGAUUGAAUUAUGGGAGUGGGUCUUUCCCAUGCUGUUCUCAUGAUAGGGAUUGGGUCUCAGAAGACAUGAUGGUUUUAAAAAAUUGGAGUUUCUCUGCACCAGCUCCUAUCUCUUGCCACCACCAUGUAAGAAGUGCAUUUUGCCUUCCACUAUGAUUGUGAAGCCUGGCCAGCCACAUGGAACUGUGAGUUCAAUAAAAUUCUUUUGUAAAUUGCCCAGUCUUGCUUGGGUAUGUCUUUAUCAGCAUUGAAAACAGACUAAUAUACCCCCUACUCAUCAUUACCACAUAUAUUUGGCUAAUAUAAUUCUGAUUGUGAUUGUGUUCUACAUGUAAAUCCUAUUUUUGUAACUUGUAAAUGCUUCUAAUUUAUUAUGUGUUAACUGUGAAAUAGAAGUACUCUUUCCUUGGUUUAUAUUCAGGUGGUAUUGGAUGAAAAUACCUUGAACUUUAUUACUAUCAGGAAAGUGUCCAAUGCUACUUAUUAUUUCAACUGUGAAAAUACACAUUUCUGAUAUUUGAAAUCUAUUUAAAUGCUAGUAUUGACUAUGUCAUUGGCCAAAUGGGCUAUCAGUCAAGAAAUUCACAUUUGGACCACAAGUAGAAUCAAUUUCAAAGAACUGAUGAAAUAAGAAAUCAGUAAUGCUGUCCUCAAAAGUUAAUAGGCUAAAUUAAAACUGGGAGAAAAUGAACCCACAGCAAUUCUACAUGAUGUCUUUUCAUUUACAGCUGUUAUGAACAAGUUUCUCAUUAUGAAAUAUUGCCUACAGCAAAUUAAACAUAUUGGCUUUAAAGUAUUUGAAAAUAGAUAAGAAUCAGAUGCCCAUUCAGUGAAUUACACCCUGGAUGUCUAACUGGGCAUCAAAAGGCCAAUAGAAUAGGGAUAGAAGGCAACAAAGGAAAAGAUACAUUUUAAAGGCUUGGCAAUGACACUUUUCAGAAGGCAACAAACAGAUAGGAGGAAGGUUAUCAAAGGAGAAAUACUAAGCUGUCAAUUGAAUAGACACCAGUUGCUUAAUAAAAUUAUGAGAAAUGGCAAUUGAUAGUCUUGGAGGAUAAAGUGAAAAUCAGGUAUUCUCUCCAUUGUGAUUCUAACCUGUACUUCAAGGUUGUGUUGGAAGAAGUUAGAAAUUUGUGUUUGGAAAAGGGCAGAUCUGGUUUCAAAUCCCAACCGUAGUAUUAACUGCAUAAUUUAUUCAAAUUAUCUCUCUGGCUUCCAUUUUUUUUAAUGCAAAAUGAGGAUAAUCAUUUUUACUUCUUAUAAUUGAGGUAAGGAUGUGACAUCAUAUAUAUGUAAAUAUUUCUUACAACAUAUGGAAUGUGGUAUGCACACAUACCUUCUUCCCAUGUAAGGAAGAAGCAUCUCUCUAGACUGUUUUCUAUCUCAGUGAUUUACAUCGUCAUGAAUUAAAUAUCACACUGGAAUAAAUAUCAGAAAACUGAAUAUCCUAUAUUAGCUUCACCAGUAUCUAGCAAAUAACAUAUCUGGCAUGAUGUAUUUUUUGUUUGUACAGUUGUGUUACAAAAAGAACAUGAACAGCUACUGUUUGUAGUCAAGAAACAAAAAAACUUAUGGCAAGAUAGUAGUAUCUGUUGAAUUAACUGAAUUUGUCAAGUAAAAAUGGAAAAACACAUAGUUCACAAAAAUUAGUAAAAGAAUCAAUAAAUAGCUUGUGGAGGCUACGUUGAGUCAAUUCCACAAAGUUCAUGUAGCUUAUACUAUGAAUAAGAUGGUUUACAUAUGAUGCAAAAAUGAAUUCAAUUUUUUUUACCUUCAAGGAACUUAAUAUCUGCUAAGGAAGAAAAGAAUUGCACAUAGAUGCAUGUAUUACAUGGUCAAGUAGAAUACAACGUAUAUUAAAGCACUUCUCCUUCUUGCCACCACGUGAAGAAGGAUGUGUUUGCUUCACCUUCUACCAUGAUUGUAAGAUUCCUGAGGCCUUCCCAACCAUGAAGAACUGAAAGCACCUACUUACUUGUCCUGAUGGAGCUGCAUUAGAAUGGUAACUUCAAAAAUUACAAAUUUAUCCUGAAGGCAUUGUGACUUUGAGGACACCUACGACUUAGAGUUCAGCAAGAAAAAAACCCUAUGCCAUAUUAACUAUUCAAAUGGAUUGGUUGUUUCCUUAUAAUGGCUUUUAAAUAAAGAUUUGCCCUCUGUUCCUUUUCAUUAUUUAUUUGAGUAAAGGAAAUAUAACAUUGCAUCAUGGAAACUAUAAGACAUGGCCUUAUGCCUGAAGAAUGCAUAUAUGAUUUAUAUAAUGGGUCAAUAGUUUUGUAAGAACACAAUAAAUGGCUACUCUAUUUAGGAUGGACUGAUAAAUUGCAUUGGUGGAAGUAAAUUAUAUGAGAGUACUUAUCUUUAUUCAUGAAUGACAGGGCAGAUCUUUCCUGAACUUACUGGAGAGGGACACAUAUGGCUGAAACCCCCAGUGAAGAGAUGUGCCAGGCAGCUUGAGAGACAUCUGAGCUUGGAAGCAAAGCUAAGAAUUUGUCAGAUUGCAUGAAUAUAGCAUCUUUCCUGGUAUUUAUACCACCCACUGUCUGUCAUAAUGAAUCAAGCUCAGAUUAAAUUCUGUUAACUUUCAGAUAUAAAUGUUAUAGUUUACUCUUUUUUACUUUUCAAAGUAAAACAGCAGAAGAGGGAGAAAUUGCUUUUAUAGAUUGUUGCUAGGGAAAUCAUUCAGCUGGGCUUUGUCUUUAUGGCCUGUCUGCCUUAUUCUUCUGUAGGUACUCCACAAAGAGUUACCCUGUGGUUUACUCUCAAGUUCAAAUUGGGAAUUAUACUAUGGGUUUUAAAAUUAUUUUUAGAAAGUGAAUAUAUUA